AUGGGUGAGCCUGUUUGUCAUUCUGAAGAAGAUAUUUAGGCUAAGAUUUCAAUUUCAAUAGAGAUGGGAGAGCAAAUGAAUAGUGAAUAAAUCUAAUUUAGAAUUUUGCCUCCGAUGUCUGGUUCUCAGAAUGAUGAUAUAUGGGGAUCCUCAAAAGGGAUGCUAGUCAAAUGGCUAAUGACAAGAAGCACAAGAGGACCACCCUGUUCAGCAUGUCAGGGUGGAAGUCCUAGGGGGAUUUUCUUAUGAUGCUGGACGAUGUCCUGGGAGAUAAAACCUCAGAAGUAUCUGGUUUCUAUUAAAAGCAAGUCUAUAGGAUUAGACGUUUCUUAAUGUGCAAUUAUGAAAUGCACAACACCAGAUGUAGUCACUCAUAUCUUCUUUCCUUUCCCUUCUUUCCUAUUAUUGCUCAGCUUGAUGCUUCCAUGGGGAAGGAAAAACCUCAGAAUCUUAAAGGGGACUGUCAGUUGAUGUUCCUGAAGUACACUCAUGACACCAUCCUGCACGUCUACAUCUCUCUGGUGGACACAUCAUAUCCUAGAGUCCAGUUCUGCAUAGCCUUGUUGACUGCAAAAAGCAUUGAAGGAAGUUAAAAGGGACCCUGCCUGACAGGUAGAACAAGGUGUCUGUUGGCCGUGGUGACUGGUGAGACAUUCAUCCAAGCUAGGGGGAUGUUUCAGAGGUCACUAAAGUGGUGCACUAGCAGUUAUAUCCAUAAAGUGGGUAAAAUGGUAGCUGACAUCACAGAAUCUCAGAUGCUAGGAUGACUCCAGGGUUAGGGACUGGGCUGGAGUCCUAGUGGCAGUUCCUCAUCUGUGUCUGCAAAACGUUGAAAUGUGGCCCACGAAUGUUCUAAAACUGUAGAAAUCACAGAAAGAGAAUGAAGACACCACCACCCACAAUAA